AAAGCUUGGCUUACAGUCUGAAUGCCUGUGGCCAAAGGGAAUUAAUCAUGGUCACAAAUCAGGACUCCAAUCCAUGGGCUUCAGAUCACAGGCUUGGAGACAACUAUGGUUGCAGCUGCAAUAGCCUGAUGGAUAAAUCCCCUGUCCCAUCCAGUCUGCUUAAUCUGGGAUUCUGAAACAUGCAUUUUCACACAUCUGUAAAGCUAUGGCAGCUGGGGUUUCCUGAGAGCUGUGGCAUUCUACUGCUUUACACCAGCUGGGAGUUUGUACCUAGACCUUCUACACCACACAUUUCUUACCUCGCUUCACCUUUAUGAGCUGGGUGUUUACUUUGAAGCUGGUUUGUGUACCGAGCUGGAAGGCAACUAGCCCCACAGAAAACGCCAGUGUUUUGAUUAAAAGCUAUUAAAUUGCAUUUGACUUGAGCAAAAUUUAACAUGCUUCAUAAUGCAAUUUUAUGAGCUAUUGAGAUUUCUGGCACCGUAAAAUGAUUUUGUUAAUGGGUUUCAGCAGUUGUUACUUAAAGUGAUGUUAAAAAGUAAUGAAGGGGGAAGUAAAUGCAAGGGGUGAGCUUGCUUCUCAAGUCCGCGGUUCUUUCCUUUCCUAGCUGGAGAGCAUUAGUAGGGGUAAGCAAGCAUUAAACGAAUUCAAUGUGCUGUCUUUGUGUGAAAGAGCUCACUGCAGACCCCAUAUUUUUAGCUGAAUAUGAACUUGCUGACCACAAUUCUGAGUUUUAGCUUGUUAGUUAGGUUGACUGAUGAACACCCAGGACCAGACAGAUAAGCCAGACACUUAAUCUAUCUACUGUAUGUGUUCAGUCAGACUAAAGCUUUAUCAAUCAUUUCAAACUGCAUUUCAAGAGCAUACUGUAUAGUUUCCCAUUAC